rnacentral:lncRNA from 1 species
GUUACCUGUUUCACUCUGAUAGAAUUGUGGUGUAAAUACGUUAUCUUCUUCAUGGUAGCUUCCUUCCGUCGUGUACUUCUCGAUACACCCCAGACACAUUUGGGAUGUUAGAAACCUUUGUCUCUUGUCCAGUCCUGCUACUUACAGUAAUUUAGUGUCAGCAGAAUUGCACUGGUUAAAUGUUCUUGAGCCAAAUCAUCUCAGUUGUCAGACGGGGUUUAUUAAAAUGUGCUUGCUUCAAGAUGAUUUGUUAGGUUUACGAAUGAUGACCAGGGGAAGCUUCCUCGUAGUAGAAGAGAAUCCUUCCGCUCUCCCAUGAAGGCUCUAAAGAGCUUCACAUUUUGCACUUUUGUAGGUUUCAGCAAAUCCCAGAAAGAAUAAAAAUGAAAAAGGACUGGGACAGAUUGUUUGAGGGUUGUUUUUUUUUUAAGGUAUCUUGAUGCUGCUGAAGAAAAUAUGUAGUGGUUUAAACCCACCAGCUUUCUCACAGGACUUCCAGCCCAGAGAAGUUUAAUAUAUAUAAAAAAAUCAAACAUCAGAAUGUGGCCACGAACUACUACCUCUCGUACCUGUAGAAUGACAGUUCUCUGCAAUGGUGCUAGACUAAUGUCAUCUUAAAAUUAAUCGGAUUGCUUCUCUGUUUUAAUAUAUGGUGGCCUAUAGCUAAGCUAUCAUGGUUGGAGUUCUGUUUUUUAAAGAAUCAAAAAUUACCUUGCAUAGUUUUGAGGAGCAGCACAGUGUCUGAGACCUUUAAAAAAAUAAAAAAGAAUAAUUACAGUAGCCUGUGGACACCCAUGAGCCUCAUGACUGAGUGGGGAGUGCAAGAGGUCACUUCAGUAAGCAUUACUAGACACACAAGCUGUACCUGGGGAAAUGCUGUCUUCCACAGAAACAGUGGGGUAUGGGAAAUUUGGACGUGCAGUUGCCUAUCACGACCAUUCCAAUAGCCAGCCCUUCCUCCCAUAAGGAGAGUCCCAAAAUGCAGGCAGCUAGAUCAGUUCACGUCACCAAAUAGGCAACAGGUCUUUUGUAAAGUUAAUAACUCUUGAUGGUCCAUUCAAAACCCAAC